rnacentral:lncRNA from 1 species
UCAUAAAAAAUGAUGAGUUCGUGUCCUUUGCAGGGACAUGGAUGAAUCUGGAAACCAUCAUUCUCAGCAAACUGACACAGGAACGGAAAACCAAAUACCACAUGUUCUCACUCAUAGAAAAACUCUAAUGGCCUUCCCAUUGGACAACUAUGAUAUUGAAUAUUUAAAAGACUAACAUCACUUCAGAAAAGUCAUGGUCUUAUUUGUUGGUCUUCACAAAGAGGGAUUUUACAAAUGGCAAAAAGCUCUUCAUGGAGCCGAAUCUUCUUCUGGCAGAUAAAAUCUUAUACAUAUUGUUAAAAGAAUUUCUCACAUUGAUGCAGGGAUGGAAGCCACUGAGCCUUACUUUCUCAGUCUCCUCAGUCCCCGACUUUGGAUGGUCACUAAGGUUGAAAUUUCAGAUUUUACCCCAGUGGAAUAUUAAGCUGAUUUAAAAAAAUUUUCUGAUUAUCUACUACAUCCAGAAAGUUGUUAGGUAAGUUUUGGAUGACCAAAAUAAGUUAUUUCCUUUAAUAAUUAGACGUAGUGAGAGAAAUAAGCAUGCAAGUAAAAACUGAAA